rnacentral:rRNA from 1 species
GUUAAUCGGAAUUAUUGGGCGUAAAGGGCAUGUAGGUGGUUUGUUAAGCAUUAUGUGAAAGCCCUAGGCUUAACCUAGGAACUGGAUAAUGAACUGACAAGCUAGAGUGCAGUAGAGGAAGGUAGAAUUCCAGGUGUAGCGGUGAAAUGCGUAGAUAUCUGGAGGAAUACCAGUGGCGAAGGCGACCUUCUGGACUGACACUGACGCUGAGGUGCGAAAGCGUGGGUAGCAAACAGGAUUAGAUACCCUGGUAGUCCACGCUGUAAACGAUAUCAACUAGCCGUUGGGUUAUUAAAUAAUUUGGUGGCGUAGCUAACGCGAUAAGUUGAUCGCCUGGGGAGUACGGCCGCAAGCUAAAACUCAAAUGAAUUGACGGGGCCCGCACAAGCGGUGGAGCAUGUGGUUUAAUUCGAUGCAACGCGAAGAACCUUACCUACUCUUGACAUCCAAAGUACUUUCCAGAGAUGGAAGGGUGCCUUAGGGAACUUUGAGACAGGUGCUG